UCUCAAGUGAUCCUCCCACCUUGGCCUCCCAAAGUGCUGGGAUUACAGGCACAAGCCACCAUGCCCAGCCUCAACAAGGACUUUAAGGGGUCCGGACAGCAAGAAGUCAAAAAAACUCUGCUCUAGGGUGAGGACACAAAACUCUGCCUGGAGAGAUCCAUGGGGGGGACUGUGGCGCCCCAGCAGACAGCCACGGCAGCAAGGCCCCUAAGGGCUGCCAGCCAGUCACCACUGGUGGCAGUGCAGGAAUAACCUGUGGGGCCAAAGCCCCACCCACCAGCUCACAGAUGCGGGAAAGGUGAUGAGUCCUCAUUCUAGGCCCAGAAGUUCCAGGGUUGAUUACUCAGAAAGAGGUAAGCAAGACCCACCCACAGCCAAGCCAGGGGCUGCUGAGCCACGCCCAAGAUUAGAGACUUGUGCGUUUGGUGCAGUGCCUGACACCUGACCCUGGUGGCUGACCAUGCGGCCUGCCUGCCAGUCGUGGGCGUGGGAUGCACACCACACCCUGGCCGCACUGCCUGUGCCAGGGGCAGAAGCAGGGACCAUGAAGUCGUGUGUUCUGCUGAGAGCAUCAACCAGAGCAGAGCCGCUCAGGAGGGCACACGGUGCUGCAGGCCUAGCAUGUCACACGCAGAGCCGAGGCCGCCCGCUGGGAAGCCCACCGCCGGCAGGGAGCGCAGCCUACACACCGAAUGAUGCCUCACGAUGGCUGCCAAAUUGAGAGCAAUGUGACCUGCCACCGAAGCCUCCUGAGCGCACUCUGAGGUCUCCUCGCUGUUCCUCCCGUCCUCAGACGGUCCCCCGUGCCCAAAUGAGCUCAAGGGCUUUGCUGGCACAGCUCUUCAGCUCGGAGGCGAUGCAGGUGAUACACAGCCAGGCUCACUGGUUCUGCUCACAGAGGCUUCCCUCCCUGCCCCUUCAUCUAUUCAACUGAUACAGGAGCUGAGUCACAUGCACUCCUGCUGGCUAAAUUUGACACAGCCCAUUCAUCAAAAUAUCAUUAAAGACGACAAUCGACUGAAAAAUAUUAAAUAAAUAAAAACCCACACGUCCGUGGAACCAUGAGCGGGAGGAGGCAAAGGCAGCCCUUCUGAGACAAGGCACCAGGGAGCCAGGGCUCCCUCCACAGGCCUGCAUGGCGAGUACCCUCCCUCACCUCCACAGGUCUCAGCUCAACGGCACCUUCUCAAAGAGGCCUUCUAGAGCCCCUACUCUAACAGCUCUCCAGGCACCCCAUCUCACACCUCCUUACCUCCGUCCCCCUCCAGGCACCCCAUCCCACACCUCCUUACCUCCGUCCCCCUCGGCUCUCCCGCACACUCCCUCCAGGCACCCCAUCCCACACCUCCUUACUUCCAUCCCCCUCGGCUCCCCUGUGCACCCCCUCCAGGCACCCCAUCCCACACCUCCUUACUUCUGUCCCCCUCGGCAGUGGGGAAGCUGCCCAGGGGUGGCCCGUUGCCUCUGUUUAUGCGUGUCCCGAGCACUCAGAGCAGGCGGCACGCAUGCAGGUCUCCAAGAGGAACCUGACUCAACCCAGAUUCUCAGGCCCACGCUCUUGUGUUUCAUGACACUGCUGCUAUGACAAAUGGUCCUGUCACAUGUGGCACAAAGAACAGGGCACGCAGUAGAAGGGCAGACAUGCUGGGAGGAGGAACCCAAAGCAGCCUCCCAUGUAGAGGGCCGGCCGCAGACUAUGGGGAGAGGCCAGGGCUGUGCAUGACAAACUCAACACAGACAAGCCAUGCUCACACCAGCAGCUUUCAACCCACGCCCAAGCUAAUUUUAUGCUCCCUGGGCUCACGCCCAGGCCUGGCCCCAGGCUCAGGCAUCCGGCUCCUCAGGGCCACCUGGCACCAUCAGGCCUUUCCAUGGGCUGAGGACAAAUCCCAGCAAAGCAGGAGUUAGGAGCUUCCACAGACGGUGCAGGCCAAACCCCGAGACAACAGCCCCACGUGGGCUCCUGAGACUAUGCUGCUGUGGGGAUAGGGUCUGCCAACCCACAGCCUGCACAGCCACCAUGUCUGGAGGGGAAGAGGCGCUGCUGAAAGGGUGCUUGGAAGAAAAGUCUCCCAACCUUGCAAAGGUCACAGGCAAAAGGGAAACAGCAUGGUGCCUCUGUGCUUUCCAACCCUCCAGCUCGCCUGCUUUCUGCAGGGAAAAGCUGAAUACCUUUGUGGGAGCUCUUUGCCUCCCCGCCUGCCACAGCAAAAUGCUCGAUGACACAGACCAAAACCACCACCAGACAGGGCAAAAAACAGGAGCUGUGGCACUUAGCUCCCUCACGUUAGCCUCGGGACAUCCGCAAACAACUGCAGGGAUGAAUAAACACACAUUCCAGCCAGGGAGCUUCAAAGAGAAGGGAGCCAGGGACAGCAAUGCGAGUGUGGCCACAGUCCACGGGCCAAGCAAUGCCACAGAUCACACGCGGCCUGGAAGACCUGCCCACCAUCUCCUUCUUUUCCCUUUAACCUUCCACAUUUUGUUUGUACCAAUUGUUUCUACUUCCGCUGAACACCAAUGGGUGUGCCCCAGCCAGGAGAAAUCCUGUGCAGAGAAAAAACAAACACGGUGAAGGCAAAGAAUGGGAGGCCCUUCUGGCCAAGACAGACGGGAACAGCACACGCCCUUCCCUUCCAGACAGGUCUAGCACUGGCAGGAGGCUGCACACACACAAAUCACCACGGAGAAACAAAGGCCAUGGCCCUGCGGCUCCCAACCAGCACUCAGUGGCCCUAACAAAAGUUGCAGUGGGCCCUGAUGUUUCUAACCCACACCGUGUGGACAAAGGAAACACUGGGGUGACAGUGGCACGGCACGGAGCUCCUCCCUCACAGUGGCCUCAACGCCCCUCUUACCAUACCAGAUGACCACAGCAGAGACCACGGCUGCCUCUGGAGGGGGUCUGCUGGUGCACCACACCCCUGUUCGAUCUGACAGCAGCACUUGGCAGGCAGACCCCUAGUGUGGCUGGCUUUCCCAGGGCUGGGGGAGGCCUUCACGAGUCAGGACACAAGGGUGGCACCUGGUGGUGGCAACACCAAAGCAAAGACCCGAGGUGGGGACUGCACUGUCUCAGAUACACUCACGAUGAGAAACGCAGUCCUGCUGUUUACCAGCCCCCGAACCACGGACGCCGCCUGGGGGCUGCACCGUCUCAGAUACACUCAAGAUGAGAAACACAGUCCUGCUGUUUACCAGCCCCCCAACCACGGACGCCGCCUGCAGCUCCCCUGGGGGGCUCACCCCCAGCUUCAAGGACACGUGUGCAAGGGUUCCUAGGGGGUUUAUGGGGAGGCUCCUUCUAAAAAGGGCUCCAGGUAUCCACGACCAUUGCUUUUUUUUUUUUAACUGUCACCCA